rnacentral:misc_RNA from 1 species
GGAAGUAAAGGUCGUAACAAGGUCUCCGUAGGUGAACCUGCGGAGGGUUCAUUACAGAGUUCAUGCCCUACCGGGUAGAUCUCCCACCCUAUGUUAUUAUUACUUUGUUGCUUUGGCGGGCCGUUAGGCUCCGGCCCGACUACCGGCCCCGGCUGGUAAGCGCCCGCCAGAGGACCCAAAACCCUGAAUAUUAGUGUCGUCUGAGUACUAUAUAAUAGUUAAAACUUUCAACAACGGAUCUCUUGGUUCUG